AAAAUGUGAUAAUCAUUGUGAAUUGCAGAAUUCAGUGAAUCAAUAGAAUGCUGAACGCAUACGGCACUCGUUUCUACGAGUACGCUUGUUUCAGAAUCAUUGAAAUUCCAAUUCGACCCUCCUUAUUGGAGGCUCGGAGCGGAGCUAUGAGUCAUCUUCAGUGGAAACAUUGUGGUUGGCUUUUGUGUCCAAGUGCUCGACGCUAUUGACAUCACGUUGAAACGACUGGAUGUCGUAGCGAAGACUACGCUUGCUCCUUUCUUUUUUGAUCUGAAAUCAAGCGAGGCUACCCGCUGAAUUUAA
rnacentral:misc_RNA from 1 species